GGUCAUUGAAGGCAGAAAGGCUCCUGUCACACCUCUCCCGCUAGCCCAUAGAGAGGUACCUGAGAUGUUGGGUACGCCGUCCAACCAUUGACC
rnacentral:ncRNA from 12 species